GAUGAACGCUGGCGGUAUGCCUAACACAUGCAAGUCGUACGAGAGUUUUUUAACUCUAGUGGCGGACGGGUGAGUAACACGUGAGAAUUUGCCUUUAGGAGGGGGACAACAAUUGGAAACGAAUGCUAAUACCCCAUAUGCUUUCGAGUGAAAUGGAUUUUAUCCGCCUAGAGAGAAGCUCGCGGCUGAUUAGCUUGUUGGUAAGGUAAGAGCUUACCAAGGCGACGAUCAGUAUCUGGUUUGAGAGGACGAUCAGACACACUGGAACUGAGACACGGUCCAGACUCCUACGGGAGGCAGCAGUGGGGAAUUUUCCGCAAUGGGCGAAAGCCUGACGGAGCAAUACCGCGUGAGGGAAGAAUGCCUAUGGGUUGUAAACCUCUUUUUUCAGGGAGGAAUAAAAUGACGUGUACCUGAAGAAUAAGCAUCGGCUAACUCCGUG
rnacentral:rRNA from 1 species